GGGUUGUCGCUGACCUUUCCAAAAGGUCGUGCACGCCCGAGCGCUCUCAAUCCAUUUCACCCCUUGUGCAUCACCGCGCGGGGUCGCUCCCUCUUGGCUCGCUUCGAGAGGGGGAGGCUCGCGUUUUUCACACAUAAACACCCUUCUGGUUUAGAAUGUCAUUCAUUUGCGAUCACACGCAAUCAAUACAACUUUCAACAACGGAUCUCUUGGCUCUCGCAUCGAUGAAGAACGCAGCGAAAUGCGAUACGUAAUGUGAAUUGCAGAAUUCAGUGAAUCAUCGAAUCUUUGAACGCAUCUUGCGCCCCUUGGUAUUCCGAGGGGCACACCCGUUUGAGUGUCGUGAAAUUCUCAAACCUUCUUGGUUUCUCGAUCAAGAUGGCUUUGGACUUUGGAGGCAUUUUGCUGGCUUUGCGAAAAGCCAGCUCCUCUUAAAUACAUUAGUGGGGUCCCCUUUGCCGAUCCCCAGGCGUGAUAAGAUGUUUCUACGUCUCGGGAUUUGCUCUGUUCCUUGGGAACCCGCUUAUAACCGUCUCAUGGGAGACAUCGUUCGAGCAUGCUCGACCCACGAACCUUGACCUCAAAUCGGGUGAGACUACCCGCUGAACUUAAGCAUAUCAAUAGGNGGGAGGAA
rnacentral:rRNA from 1 species